rnacentral:rRNA from 1 species
UUCCGGNUGAUCCUGCCGGAGGUUACUGCUUUUGGUGUUCGACUAAGCCAUGCAAGUCAUAUGUUCUUCGUGAACAUGGCAUACUGCUCAGUAACACGUGGAUAACCUGCCCUUGGGUCUGGGAUAACCCCGGGAAACUGGGGAUAAUACCGGAUAACGCAUAUGUGCUGGAAUGCUUUAUGCGUAAAACGGAUUCGUCCGCCCAAGGAUGGGUCUGCGGCCUAUCAGGUAGUAGUGAGUGUAAUGUACCUACUAGCCAACAACGGGUACGGGUUGUGAGAGCAAGAGCCCGGAGAUGGAUUCUGAGACAUGAAUCCAGGCCCUACGGGGCGCAGCAGGCGCGAAAACUUUACAAUGCGGGAAACCGUGAUAAGGGAACACCGAGUGCCAGCAUCAUAUGCUGGCUGUCCAGAUGUGUAAACUACAUCUGUUAGCAAGGGCCGGGCAAGACCGGUGCCAGCCGCCGCGGUAACACCGGCGGCCCGAGUGGUGACCGUUAUUAUUGGGUCUAAAGGGUCCGUAGCCGGUUUGGUCAGUCCUCCGGGAAAUCUGAUAGCUUAACUGUUAGGCUUUCGGGGGAUACUGCCAGGCUUGGAACCGGGAGAGGUAAGAGGUACUACAGGGGUAGGAGUGAAAUCUUGUAAUCCCUGUGAGACCACCUGUGGCGAAUGCGUCUUACCAGAACGGGUUCAACGGGGAGGGACCAAAGCUGGGGGCACG